rnacentral:rRNA from 1 species
CGGACGGGUGAGUAACGCGUGGGUAACCUGCCUUAUACAGGGGGAUAACAGUUAGAAAUGACUGCUAAUACCGCAUAAGCGCACAGUCUCGCAUGGGACAGUGUGAAAAACUAAGGUGGUAUAAGAUGGACCCGCGUCUGAUUAGCUAGUUGGUGGGGUAAAGGCCUACCAAGGCGACGAUCAGUAGCCGACCUGAGAGGGUGAUCGGCCACAUUGGGACUGAGACACGGCCCAA